rnacentral:misc_RNA from 1 species
UCCGAGUUGACCCCGGCAGUCUCCUAUGAGUUCCCACCAUUACGUGCUGGCAACAUAGAACGAGGGUUGCGCUCGUUGCGGGACUUAACCCAACAUCUCACGACACGAGCUGACGACAACCAUGCACCACCUGUAUACCGACCUUGCGGGGCGACUGUUUCCAGCCGUUUCCGGUAUAUGUCAAGCCUUGGUAAGGUUCUUCGCGUUGCAUCGAAUUAAACCACAUGCUCCACCGCUGGUGCGGACCCCCGUCAAUUCCUUUGAGUUUCACCGUUGCCGGCGUACUCCCCAGGUGGCGAACUUAACGCUUUCGCUAAGCCGCUGACUCAAGUGAGCCAACAUCGAGUAAUCAUCGUUUACAGCGUGGACUAC